CAAAGCAAUUUUUGGAACUCUUUUUACGACUUGUUAAAAAAUGCAUCAAUGCUUAAAAACAGACAUCAGGCUAACGUUAAUCCCUAUCAUUUGAGAACUAACAUUAGUUACUAACAUUAUUCAAAUUGCUAUUGAAAAUUAUGCUAUUUACUCAAGGGAACUCGCAAUUUCAGAACUAGACAUUAAACCAACAAGUCGAUUUCCAUUUGAACCUGUUUUGUGACAUAUAAACUAGUUGAAACUAUUUUACGACUACUAGAAAUGAAUUAACUACACUAUAUUUCAUAACUAGUAAUCACAAACUAAGAUUAAUUACAAUUGAUAUUCACAUGUUUGUAAAAAUAGAUUCAACAUCCCAUUUUAUACAUCCCAAGGUCAUUCUAAUAAAUGAUGUGAGGUAUCAAGUAAGCUACUAUUUAUACAUUUAUAUUAAACACAAAACAAACACUGGGGAAUUUCAAGGAUCCCCUUCAAACAACUUCUUUACUUUCUUUCCAUUAGAUUUGAGAGCUUUAGAACAUGUACCUGGAUAGCGGAAAUACAAGAAGAAAUGGAGGAAGUCAGAAGCAGCAGAUAACACAGCAAUAACGCAGCAGCAAUGGAACAACUUAGCAAAACCCAACAGCACAGCAAUGUAACAGUUCCAAACAACUAGUACAACACCCAAAAUACACCAAAAUGAGACCCAGUAACAACAGAAUAAUAGCACCCAUUAGCUGACCCCAAAAAAGCUUAGUUUCAACCAAAUACCAAUCGAAAUGCAGUACCAGCAACCAAAAGAUGAACUCAAAAAUACAACUUGAUAGUUAAAGCUGAAAUUCUCUUUAUUUCAAUGAAAACAGUAUUAGUUGAACUAACUGACUCCUUAAACUCUCUAUCUAUGGGAAUAUUUUCUUUUCUAUGUAUUUUUGACUCUAAACUCUUCUGCCAGUUCAAGUCCCCCUUAUGUCUCUACUCAUCUCUAUAUUUAAACCCAAACUCUUCAAUCCUUCUCAGCCUCCACUCCCCCAUUCUUUACAGCUGUAAGAAGGAUCUUCUAUUAUUACCCCUAUGUUUCAUUUUCUUUCUAGCUUUUUAAUAUUCCUCCCUAUGUGAACCUUUUUAGCUUUUUCAUUAUUAUUCCCCCUCUUUUUACUUUCCAGCCCCUUUUUCUUUAUUUACGUCAUUAUGUCUUGUUCCCCACUACUCUUAAAUAAAUGUAUUGUUUUAAAGGUCCACUAGUACUUACUGGACAGACCAUUUAAACUAGCCAUUUUCAAAACCUUUUAAACCCCAAAAUACCCCUGAAACUUCUAAAAUUACCAUCCCACCCCAAUCCCCUUUCAAGAAAUCAGCUAUAACCAAUUCCCUAUUCAAAAUCAGUCAACAAUUCAAACUAGAAACUCAUAUUAGAUCAGUAUCAUCAGAAUAAGAAGAAUGAUUCCGAACAAAAACCUAUUGAACUACUAAAUAUGUCUCCUAAUCAUUUGAAACUCGGUAUUGGAUUUCUAAUAGGGAAUCAAACAUAAUACAAAUGCAACAAUUUAAAUAAAUAAUACAUAUUUAUUAUAGAACUGAGAAAGUGAAACACAAUACUUAAACAAAAUAGAACCAAAAAUGAAAAGGAAUGAGGGACUUACGAACUCUUUGAAAAUUCUCUUGUAAAUCAAGAUAAGCACAGAAAAUGGGAAUAAUGAAUCCGAAACCAGAACCACGACCGCUGACGUCAAACGAAACACCUAUUAGCCUCGACGCUCCAUCGAUGAUUGAAAUUGACAACUGGGUUUUACAGCUUUGAAUCGUUGACGGACAAAAUCAACUUGAGCUCGUUGGAGACCUGUGUGUAUGUUUCUGUGUGCUUCUCUAUGUGUGUGCGUGAGUGGAAGGAGAUGGUCGUUUGGCAUGGGCUACAUCGCUGGUGAGACGGCGUUGGAUGGUGGCGGGCGACGGGAAUGGAGAGGAGUUGGUUGGGGUGUUUUGUUGGACGUUGCUGGAGGAGUGGGGGCUAUUUCAGGUGGUCGACGGAAGAGGGACGACGCAGCAGCAGCAGCACCAGCGCUGCUGUGCUGAUUCGGGCAAGAGGGAGAUGGGGGGGAGAUAGGGUUGGGGUCUUUAAGGUUUGGGGGAUUAGGAAAUAAAGUGAAAAA
rnacentral:lncRNA from 1 species